GCAAGUCGGACGAGAAAGCUCCUUCGGGGGUGAGUAAAGUGGCGCACGGGUGAGUAACGCGUAGGCAACCUGCCCCUAGAUUUGGGAUAACCUCGGGAAACCGAAGCUAAUACCGAAUAACAUCUUUUAACCGCAUGGUUGAAAGAUCAAAACUCCGGUGUCUAGGGAUGGGCCUGCGUAAGAUUAGGUAGUUGGUGAGGUAACAGCUCACCAAGCCGACGAUCUUUAGCUGGUCUGAGAGGAUGAUC
rnacentral:rRNA from 1 species